rnacentral:lncRNA from 1 species
AGAGAAAGGAUUACUGAUUUGUGUCUCAGUCAGUUCAUUGAACUAACCAACAUCACAGCCUGGGAAGGUCACUAUGGUAGUUGUUUAUUUUUUUGUUGUUUUGAAACUAACAAAAUACAGAGUAUGGAUGUAAACUGGCAGCGGAGGUGAGUGUGAAAUGUAGCAGAAGACAUCGGUGCUCACCAGCUGGAGCGUCUGGUGGAGCUGCUGACCCUGCGGGAGUGCGAGGACCUCCUCUCAACCCUCCCCUCCACAGAGGUGAAUGUUUUCCAGCGGAUCGAGGGACUCAGUUUGGAAAACAACAACCUGCUUCCACAAGGAGAAGACGAGGAGGACCUGAUGCUGCGCAGACGGAGGGACACAGAUGGGGGUUUCUUGUGUCGCACAGCUCUGACAGACUGGCUGCAGAUGCACGGGAAGCAGACUUACUAUGACAGGCUGUCUCACGCACUGCAGCAGAUCGGCAGGACUGACAUCGCUAUAGAGGUUGGCAAGAACAUAAACCAGGACAAGACCUUGAGCAUGCAGCACUAUGUGGACGAUUAUAGCCAACAUGUAAACAAAAUGGCUUCAGCAUUUGAGAUGAAACCUGAAAGAGAGAAGCAAAUGGGUUCUAAUAAACUGCGCUCAAUCAGACAGUUAAGAGACCUGGUCUGGAAGGACCUGGACCUUGUGAUAGAAAUAGAGUCAAUGCCACCCUACCCGUGGAAAAUGCUGGAUGUCAUGUGGCCAGUGGUCUUCGGAAUCUUCCUGGGAUUUGCUGGGGCAAUAUGA